rnacentral:rRNA from 1 species
UACGUAGGGUGCGAGCGUUGUCCGGAAUUAUUGGGCGUAACGAGCUCGUAGGCGGUUUGUCGCGUCGACUGUGAAAACCUACAGCUUAACUGUGGGCUUGCAGUCGAUACGGGCAGACUUGAGUUCGGUAGGGGAGACUGGAAUUCCUGGUGUAGCGGUGAAAUGCGCAGAUAUCAGGAGGAACACCGGUGGCGAAGGCGGGUCUCUGGGCAGUAACUGACGCUGAGGAGCGAAAGCGUGGGGAGCAAACAGG